AGUGAACGCUGGCGGUAGGCCUAACACAUGCAAGUCGAACGGCAGCACAGUAAGAGCUUGCUCUUACGGGUGGCGAGUGGCGGACGGGUGAGGAAUACAUCGGAAUCUACUUUUUCGUGGGGGAUAACGUAGGGAAACUUACGCUAAUACCGCAUACGACCUACGGGUGAAAGCAGGGGAUCUUCGGACUUUGCGCGAUUGAAUGAGCCGAUGUGGGAUUAGCUAGUUGGGGGGGGAAACGCCCACCAAGGCGAGGAUCCGGAGCUGGUCUGAGAGGGUGAUCGGCCACACUGGAACUGGGACACGGUCCAGACUCCUACGGGGGGCAGCAGUGGGGAAUAUUGGACAAUGGGCGCAAGCCUGAUCCAGCCAUACCGCGUGGGUGAAGAAGGCCUUCGGGUUGUAAAGCCCUUUUGUUGGGAAAGAAAAGCAGCAGGUUAAUACCCCGCUGUUCUGACGGUACCCAAAGAAUAAGCACCGGCUAACUUCGUG
rnacentral:rRNA from 1 species